GGAGUCGUACUCGAAUUGGACGCAGAGACCUGACUUUUAAUCAGCGGGAGAAAUCCCAAUGUGGGUUCAAGUCCCACCGGCUCCACCA
rnacentral:tRNA from 1 species